rnacentral:rRNA from 1 species
GACGAACGCUGGCGGCGUGCCUAACACAUGCAAGUCGAGCGGUAAGGCCCUUUCGGGGGUACACGAGCGGCGAACGGGUGAGUAACACGUGGGUGACCUGCCCUUAGCUCUGGGAUAAGCCUGGGAAACUGGGUCUAAUACCGGAUAUGACUCCAUGACGCAUGUUGUGGGGUGGAAAGCCUUGUGCGGCUAGGGAUGGGCCCGCGGCCUAUCAGCUUGUUGGUGGGGUGAUGGCCACCAAGGCGACGACGGUAGCCGGCCUGAGAGGGCGACCGGCCACACUGGGACUGAGACACGGCCCAGACUCCUACGGGAGGGCAGCAGUGGGGAAUCUUGCGCAAUGGGCGAAAGCCUGGCGCAGCGACGCCGCGUGGGGAU